rnacentral:sRNA from 1 species
AAAAGGCAUUGACUGCUGCGUAAUUUC